AAAAGGAGAUCAUCAUACUCUCCCUGACAUCUCAGGAAGGGAGAUGAAAAACACCAAAGGGAAGUGGGGAUUGCUAACAGGUUUCUGGGCUGAAGGGUUUUAUUAGAAACAGAUAUGCACAAACCCAUAAGCAUGGGAGGUAUUACACAAGCACAUAUCAGUAAUUCACAGGCUAUUAGUGAUAACUCUCCCACAACCAGUGCAGGCUCAAUGUGGUGCAACGAAUAUCAAUUGUACAUGCAAGUAGUGAUAUAAUAAACAAUAUGAAUCAACAGAGUGUUGUAAAAGAUUUCCAGAAGUCCUAGAAGGAUGGUAUGUAAACAACAGUCACACAUACACCUUCUUCAGCAGCCAAGAGAUAGUCCAAAACCAAUCUAUUGUCCAUUGCUUCACAUGUCAGGGGAUCCAAUGAACCCCACAAGUUUUUGAAGUCCUGCAACAGUCUUAUGAUUCCUGAGGGUUUUGAAGUCCUACAAUUUUUGAUGUCCAUGAGUCAAACACCAAAAUUGCCAUGCUCAUUCAGUGGUGAGCACAGUCAGCAAUGGAACCACCCUAUGUUUCUUGGGUCUUCUCCUUCCUUUCAUUUCUCUCUGAUGGACAAAGCGAAUAAGGCUCAUUGGCACCCAUCUGAAUCCUUCAUCUGUGGAGAUACAAGCAAACCCUCUCCCCCAAGCAGUAUACCUAUCUGGUCCCUUCCAUUCACCACUUUCUGGGUCUCUCCACAUCAUCUGGCAAUUAUCUAACAAUACUUGAGCCUCUUCCAUGGGACACUGUCCUUCCAAUGGGUUAUAAAAUUUGCCUGCCAGAGCCAGUAAAUCUUUGUCAAAAAUCAAGAGAUUAAUAGUAUAAAGAGCUAGAUUUAGAAGUUCUCUAGGGUUGCCUGUGGCUCCCCCUUUCUUUUCUUUUUGGAGGAGUGUCUUAAUGUUUCUGUUUCUCCUCUCUACUACUUUCUAUACUUGAGGAUUAAAAACUAUGCUAAUGGCGUGUAAAAUCUUAUACUGUGCACAAAAGUGUGCAAAAUGUUUAGAAGUAUAUGCAGGCCCAUUGUCUGUUUUUAUUGCUUGUGGCACACCCGUGAUUGCAAAUGCUUGUAUAAGGAAUUCACUGAUGACUUGGGCUGUCUCUGUUGCUGCUGGUAUUGCUUUUACAAUCCUGAAAAAGUGUCUACCACAACAUGGAUAAAAGACAGACGACCAAAAGAUUUAUAAUGGGUCACAUCCAUUUGCCAAAUUUCAUUGGGUCUCAAACCACGAGGGUUCUUCCCUGGAGGCAGUGUAGGAUCAUAUAAAGGCAAGCUGAGCAGGUUUUUACUAUGCUCCUAGCUUCCUCUCUUGUUAUUCCAAAUUGUAAGUGUAAAGCUUGAGCAGCCUGAUGAUAUUUAGAAUGAGAUUCUUGGGCUGCCUGAAAUAAAGGAGUAUUGGCCAACAUGGUUAGAAGGCUAUCUGCCUUUGAAUUACCAUCUCAAAUACGACCUGGAAGUCCCCUAUGAGAGUGGACAUGCAAGAUAUAAAUCUUACCUGGAUGCCUUCUCAUUUGCUCUUGAAGUUCCUUAAAGCGCUGAUGUAUAUAUUACAGGCUACAAAUUGUAUUUGGACUGUGGCAAUUCUUUGUACCACACCUACUGAAUAGGCUGAAUCAGAUAUUAUAUUUAUAUCUCCUGGAUAAUAAGUAAGAGCUAGCUAGAAUGAUUGCAUACAAUUCAUUCUGCUGAGUGGACUGAAAAGGAGUUCUGACUACUCUCUUUAUAGUUAAGUCAUGAGAAUAUAUAGUACAAAUAUUAUGUUUGGAUACAUCUGUAAAGAGAGUUGGUCCUUUAAGAGGAACUUCAGAAACCUUUUCUUCUAGAAUCCAUCGUCAAUUAUGUAAUAGUCUGGUUAUCUUUAAUGGAGACCCAUGUGUAAAAUUUGGAGCCGUGGCUAAUAAAAUUUGCCACUCUGGGAUGGUUUCACAGCAUACAUUAAUUUGUGCAUUAGUAUAAAAGGUGUAUAUCUUGUCAGGUUUUAUCCCAGAUACUUGUACUGCUCACUUAAUGGCCUUUAAUAAAAUUCUAGCCACAAGCACUGGGUAAAGAGUGAGAGUUUGUCCUGGUUGUGCCCGGAGUUUCACCCCCUCUAUCACACUGUCUGCUUGAUGAAGGACUGCUGUGGGUGCCUCUUGUGUAACAAAAACUGAUAUUUCUAAGGAUAUUUGAGUGACUUUCAACUACACAGUUCAACUUCUCUCAAAGUCUCUUGAGCUACAAGCUGGCUUGGUGAGUUUAAAGUACUGUUUCCCCUUAAAAUGUCACAUAAUGGUUAUAACUGAUAGGUAGUCAAUCCUCACACUGGACGCAUCCAUUGGAUGUCUCCUAUCAAUUUCUGAAAGUCAUUUAAGGUGUUUACCUUCUCUGUUCUUAAGGACAGUUUUUGCACUAUGAGCACCUUAGGGUAUACUUCAUAUCCUACUUUUUCCAAGCAAAAGACUUCCCACAUCGCUUACAUUCAUAAGGCUUCUCUCCAGAUUGAUGCCCAAUUGGAACUGUACUAUGGCAGAACACCUUAACAAGGUUUAUCUCUAGUGAGAAUAUUCUAAUGUCAAGGCAGGUCUCUC
ensembl:lncRNA